rnacentral:rRNA from 1 species
AUUGAACGCUGGCGGCGGGCUUAACACAUGCAAGUCGAGCGGAGAGAGGUAGCUUGCUACUGAUCUUAGCGGCGGACGGGUGAGUAAUGCUUAGGAAUCUGCCUAUUAGUGGGGGACAACAUUCGAAAGGAAUGCUAAUACCGCAUACGUCCUACGGGAGAAAGCAGGGGAUCUUCGGACCUUGCGCUAAUAGAUGAGCCUAAGUCGGAUUAGCUAGUUGGUGGGGUAAAGGCCUACCAAGGCGACGAUCUGUAGCGGGUCUGAGAGGAUGAUCCGCCACACUGGGACUGAGACACGGCCCAGACUCCUACGGGAGGCAGCAGUGGGGAAUAUUGGACAAUGGGCGCAAGCCUGAUCCAGCCAUGCCGCGUGUGUGAAGAAGGCCUUAUGGUUGUAAAGCACUUUAAGCGAGGAGGAGGCUACUUUAGUUAAUACCUAGAGAUAGUGGACGUUACUCGCAGAAUAAGCACCGGCUAACUCUGUGCCAGCCGCCGCAGUAA